rnacentral:rRNA from 1 species
UACGUAGGGGGCGAGCGUUGUCCGGAAUCACUGGGCGUAAAGCGCGCGUAGGCGGCGCGGUACAUCCCUCGUGAAAGCGCCCGGCUCAACCGUGGAACUGCUCGGUAUACUGCGUCGCUUGAGCCAGCUAGGGGCGACCGGAACAAACGGUGGAGCGGUGAAAUGCGUAGAUAUCGUUUGGAACGCCGAUGGUGAAAACAGGUCGCUGGGGCUGUGCUGACGCUGAGACACGAAAGCCAGGGGAGCGAACGGG